GACCUCACCAGGUCUGUGGCUGCAUUUCACAGGAAACCAAGCCUAAAAUGGACUUCUGAGGAGGUGUCUGCUGAAGGACAUUGCUUAGCGCUGAGAACAGUUCAGCAGAUUGCCUACGAUCAACAGCUCUCCGAGUUCUCCAGGAUGCUGCCAGGGUGCCCCCUCUCAGGAGACAGCUCAGCCCUGGGCCUGCCGUGCUCUCCACACUGUUCAGGCUGAGUUGAAGAUCCCUCUCAUUUGCCGGAUACCGAGGACUAUGAACAGGCAGGGCAAUAGAAGGACAACAAAAGAAGGAUCUAGUGAUUUGAAAUUCCAGAACUUUGCUCUGCCGAAAAACAGGUCAGAAUAUUUACUUAUUAACAGGGGAGCAAAAAUUUCGAGUCUGUGGCAAAUAAGCUG
rnacentral:lncRNA from 1 species